GUUUUGCAUGCAGAGAUCAGAUCGGUCGAUUGGACAAAUAAAGCGGAAUGAUGAGUAGACGAAUAAUGAUUCUACUCGGCCAUUCGUUUCGUUAGCUUUUUAUCCGCAGCGGACACAGCCGUGACCUGUGUUUAUUUCCACAACAAAUUUCGACUAUAAAUGUCUGUUAGCGUUCUUCUAUAAAGUGUUUUCCAAAGAAAAUCUAAUGUGGUGUGAAUUAAGAGAAGGCGAAGAAUUUCGCUUGUUCGAUUGCAAGUAGCAUCAAACAGAACGAUAUGUAUUAGCCGAUGCCCCUGGAUUCAGCAUGCUGUCGGUGCACGGUCGAUCCGUUUAAUCCCGGAGCGAUGUGUCGAUAUCUAGGUGCAAGAAUGCGAUUGGUCGUCGAUACCAGUUUUUUUCUAAUUAAAUAAACGAUAAAGAACUUUAUGGAGAACCCAAGAUUGACAUUGAUUAUGCCAAA